GCGCGGAAAUGUGCUAACGCCUAGCCUGACAUUAAGAAAUACCAAACCAAAAAUACCACAGCACCUAUGCACAUGUGUUUUUACAGGAGAGUGGAGCUUACUAGGAAAACGUUACUCUGAGCUUGGACCAGUUUCCUCUGCAGAAACUUCAAAAACAACGUCUACAAUAUGCCGCGUGCACGAAUGGGGAUACCAUGUGGUGGGAAUCCUAGGACUCUUCUGAUGAUUCCUGAGAUAUGCAAUCUCACCACCUCCACACACGAUUGUCAUCUAUCCAAAACCCGACAGUGGACCCAGGAAACAGGUGAUGCCUAAUCUAACUAAGGAUUCCGUGGCUGCAAUCGAUCGAGCUGGCGGAAACCGAAGUCAUGGCUUACAUGUUCUUCGCCCACGGACUUGGUUAGAGGCUCAGUGUCGGAUAAGAACAAGGUUAUUCAAUUAUAGUGCAUGGUUGGAUUUCAAGUUAUCUAAUACUCCUAAGUAAUGAAGAUCAUUCUCCAGUCCAAAACUAUAUAUACCAUCAAAUCUAUGUCCACCCAGUCCCACAGAGAUUCCAGUACAAUACUUAACUUUAUAAGGUUUAUUAAUAAUUAGGUAUUGGAAUAUACAUUUCGAACUUUAACAUAAAAGUACAUACAAACA